rnacentral:rRNA from 1 species
GACGAACGCUGGCGGCGUGGAUUAGGCAUGCAAGUCGAACGGUAUCAUCCUUUCGGGGGUGAGAGAGUGGCGAACUGGUGAGUAACACGUAGGUUAUCUACCCUCAAGACGGGGACAACCCAGGGAAACUUGGGCUAAUACCGGAUGUGAGCAACUUUUUAGUUGUUUGAAAGGUGGCGUAAGCUGUCGCUUGGGGAUGAGCCUGCGUCCUAUUAGUUAGUUGGUGAGGUAACGGCUCACCUAGGCAAUGAUAGGUAGGCGGCCUUAACGGGUGGUCGCCCACACUGGGAUUGAGAUACGGCCCAGACUCCUACGGGAGGCAGCAGUCGAGAAUAGUCUACAAUGGUCGGAAGACUGAUAGUGCGACGCCGCGUGAACGAUGAAUCCCUUCGGGGUGUAAAGUUCUUUUAUAUGUGAGCAGUGCUUCUUAUAUUAACAGUAUGGGGAGAGAGAUAUUAGCAUAUGAAUAAGCAACGGCUAACUCCGUGCCAGCAGCCGCGGUAAU